UAUCACAGCUGAGACCAAAAGUAAGGGUGAAGGGUUCUGGAAAGGAUGUGUUGCUGCGAUAUGCUGCUGCUGGGUCCUGGAAUUUUGCUGUGGAUGUUGAUUAUUAAGAGUUCAUUACUGCUAUCAGUUUAUGUGAAAUAAUGAAUACUUUUUCCCCUUUCCUUUUACUUCCUGAGUGCUUGUAUGGGAGUUAAUGAACAUAUUAAAGAUAAAAAAUAACUUUUUAAUUCCCCCCUAAAUUAUAAUCUGAUCAAUUUUCAUUUAUAA